rnacentral:tRNA from 1 species
CUGGGGCUGGGGUUCAGUGGUAGAGUGCCCGCCUUGCACGUGUGAGUCACUGGGUUCGAUCCUCCGCACCACA